AUUGAACGCUGGCGGCAUGCCUUACACAUGCAAGUCGAACGGCAGCACGGGGGCAACCCUGGUGGCGAGUGGCGAACGGGUGAGUAAUGCAUCGGAACGUGCCCUGAAGUGGGGGAUAACGUAGCGAAAGUUACGCUAAUACCGCAUAUUCUGUGAGCAGGAAAGCAGGGGAUCGCAAGACCUUGCGCUUUAGGAGCGGCCGAUGUCGGAUUAGCUAGUUGGUGGGGUAAAAGCUCACCAAGGCGACGAUCCGUAGCGGGUCUGAGAGGAUGAUCCGCCACACUGGGACUGAGACACGGCCCAGACUCCUACGGGAGGCAGCAGUGGGGAAUUUUGGACAAUGGGCGCAAGCCUGAUCCAGCCAUGCCGCGUGAGUGAAGAAGGCCUGGUUGUAACGACUGUCAGGGGGAGUGAAACCGUAAAGGUUAGAACAGAGCCCCACGAGGAAGACACGGGCUAAGUUACGUGCCAGCAGCCGCCGGUAAGAGGUAACUCUA
rnacentral:rRNA from 1 species